rnacentral:rRNA from 1 species
AAUGCAGUCGAACGGUGAUGGCCAGCUUGCUGGUCUGAUCAGUGGCGAACGGGUGAGUAACACGUGAGCAACCUGCCCCUGACUCUGGGAUAACGACCGGAAACGGUCGCUAAUACCGGAUAUGAGACGUACAGGCAUCUGUUGCGUCUGGAAAGUUUUUCGGUCAGGGAUGGGCUCGCGGCCUAUCAGCUUGUUGGUGGGGUAACGGCCUACCAAGGCGACGACGGGUAGCCGGCCUGAGAGGGCGACCGGCCACACUGGGACUGAGACACGGCCCAGACUCCUACGGGAGGCAGCAGUGGGGAAUAUUGCACAAUGGGCGCAAGCCUGAUGCAGCGACGCCGCGUGAGGGAUGACGGCCUUCGGGUUGUAAACCUCUUUCAGCAGGGAAGAAGCGCAAGUGACGGUACCUGCAGAAGAAGCGCCGGCUAACUACGUGCCAGCAGCCGCGGUAAUACGUAGGGCGCAAGCGUUGUCCGGAAUUAUUGGGCGUAAAGAGCUCGUAGGCGGUUUGUCGCGUCUGCUGUGAAAACCUCAGGCUCAACCUGGGGCUUGCAGUGGGUACGGGCAGACUAGAGUGCGGUAGGGGUGACUGGAAUUCCUGGUGUAGCGGUGGAAUGCGCAGAUAUCAGGAGGAACACCGAUGGCGAAGGCAGGUCACUGGGCCGCAACUGACGCUGAGGAGCGAAAGCAUGGGGAGCGAACAGGAUUAGAUACCCUGGUAGUCCAUGCCGUAAACGUUGGGCACUAGGUGUGGGGCUCAUUCCACGAGCUCUGUGCCGCAGCAAACGCAUUAAGUGCCCCGCCUGGGGAGUACGGCCGCAAGGCUAAAACUCAAAGAAAUUGACGGGGGCCCGCACAAGCGGCGGA